rnacentral:rRNA from 1 species
GUGGGGAAUAUUGCACAAUGGGGGAAACCCUGAUGCAGCGACGCCGCGUGAAGGAAGAAGUAUUUCGGUAUGUAAACUUCUAUCAGCAGGGAAGAAAGUGACAGUACCUGACUAAGAAGCCCCGGCUAACUACGUGCCAGCAGCCGCGGUAAUACGUAGGGGGCAAGCGUUAUCCGGAUUUACUGGGUGUAAAGGGAGCGUAGGUGGCGAUGCAAGCCAGAAGUGAAAACCCGGGGCUCAACCCCGAGGACUGCUUUUGGAACUGUGUUGCUGGAGUGCAGGAGAGGUAAGUGGAAUUCCUAGUGUAGCGGUGAAAUGCGUAGAUAUUAGGAGGAACACCGGUGGCGAAGGCGGCUUACUGGACUGUAACUGACACUGAGGCUCGAAAGCGUGGGGAGCAAACAGGA